UACAGAGGUCUCAAGCGUUGUUCGGAUUCAUUGGGCGUAAAGAGCUCGUAGGCGGCUUGUCGCGUCGUCCGUGAAAACUUGGGGCUCAACCCCAAGCUUGCGGUCGAUACGGGCAGGCUAGAGUUCGGUAGGGGAGACUGGAAUUCCUGGUGUAGCGGUGAAAUGCGCAGAUAUCAGGAGGAACACCGGUGGCGAAGGCGGGUCUCUGGGCCGAUACUGACGCUGAGGAGCGAAAGCGUGGGGAGCGAACAGG
rnacentral:rRNA from 1 species